UACGUAGGGGGCUAGCGUUAUCCGGAAUUACUGGGCGUAAAGGGUGCGUAGGUGGUUUCUUAAGUCAGAGGUGAAAGGCUACGGCUCAACCGUAGUAAGCCUUUGAAACUGGGAAACUUGAGUGCAGGAGAGGAGAGUGGAAUUCCUAGUGUAGCGGUGAAAUGCGUAGAUAUUAGGAGGAACACCAGUUGCGAAGGCGGCUCUCUGGACUGUAACUGACACUGAGGCACGAAAGCGUGGGGAGCAAACCGG
rnacentral:rRNA from 1 species